UACGAAGGGGGCGAGCGUUGUUCGGAUUUACUGGGCGUAAAGGGCGCGCAGGCGGCUUAUUUUGUCAGGCGUGAAAGCCCCGGGCUUAACCUGGGAACUGCGUUUGAUACGGAUGGGCUAGAGUUCGGGAGAGGAGCGUGGAAUUCCCAGUGUAGAGGUGGAAUGCGUAGAGAUCCGGAAGAACACCAGUGGCGAAGGCGGCCCGCUGGGCAGUGGCUGACGCUGAGGCGCGACAGCGUGGGGAGCAAACAGG
rnacentral:rRNA from 1 species